rnacentral:rRNA from 1 species
AGAGUUUGAUCCUGGCUCAGGAUGAACGCUGGCGGUGUGCCUUAUACAUGCAUGUCGAACGAGGCGUAGCAAUACGUCUAGUGGCAAAUGGGUGAGUAAUAAAUAGGUAACCAACCCUUAAGACGGGGAUACCCCAUCGAAAGAUGGAAUAAUACCCGAUAAUGUCCCUUCCGGUGCGCUGGAGGGGAAGAAAGAUGGCGCAAGCUAUCACUUUUGGACGGGCUUAUUUCCUAUCAGCUAGUUGGUGAGGUAACGGCUUACCAAGGCUACGACGGGUAGCUGGUCUGAGAGGACGGUCAGCCACAUUGGGACUGAGACACGGCCCAGACUCCUACGGGAGGCAGCAGUCGGGAAUAUUCGGCCAAUGCGCGAAAGCGUGACCGAGCGACACCGCGUGGGCGACGAAGAUCUUAGGAUUGUAAAGCCCUUUUGCCAGGGAAGAAUACGCUGGAGACAAUAUCAAUAGCGUUUGACGGUACCUGGCGAAUAAGCCGCAGCAAACUACGUGCCAGCAGCUGCGGUAAUACGUAGGUGGCGAGCGUUAUCCGGAAUUACUGGGUGUAAAGGGUCCGCAGGCGACUUGUUAAGUUAAGAGUUAAAUCUCAAAGCCCAACUUUGAGGCCGCUCUUAAGACUGGCAAGAUAGAGUGUAGAAGACGGAAGUGGAAUUCCUGGUGGAGAGGUAAAAUCCGUAGAUAUCAGGAGGAACACCUGUGGUGAAGACGGCUUCCGAGUCUAUAACUGACGCUCAUGGACGAAAGCUAGGGGAGCAAACAGGAUUAGAUACCCUGGUAGUCCUAGCC